UGAGCUCAUAUUUGUGUGGAAUGGGAUCGUUUGCCUUCGUUUGCCGUUAGGGGCGCUGUUCCAACUGCAUACAAAAUUGGGUUA
rnacentral:pre_miRNA from 1 species